rnacentral:lncRNA from 1 species
AACAGAAUAUGAUGAUAAUAAUAUGGCAAUAGAAUAAUAGUAUAAAAUAAUCAGUUUCAUGGCAUAGGAUAGGAAGAUGAGAGGAGAAUCCCAAUGCGUCCUGUACCUUUAAGGAGCGAAGCCUUGGGGACAAGUGGAAAGCCCUCUUCCUUCCUUCCCUCCCACCCUCCCUUGCCCGGGCUCCAGGAGCCAAUCAGAAGCCUCUGGGAAGCAAGGCAGCAUGGCCAGGAGGGAGACGGAAGGAAGGAAGGAAGAAACGGCAGCAGCCAUGGAAGGUUCUUCAAGCCUCGGCUGGGGGACAGAUUCUCAGUGUCUUUCUCCAAUUUCCUGUUGUGGAACAUCUUCAGGAUUACAUCAGUCCUACUGCCAACAACUUUGAUGAGUGAGAAAGCUUUCGUUUAAGCUUGGGGUUCAUACAUUUGUGGACAGAUUGGCUUUUGGCAGACACUUGAAAAAUGUUCCUGCCAAACUCUCUCGUUGGCAGAUGGCAACAGCUGGGUUAUGACUGACUUUGGAGAAACGCUGAAGAAGCUCUUCUCAAGGGUCCAUUGUAUUACACCAAUGGCUCUUCUCCAUGACCCUUUUUGCUGGUGACUCCUUAUUGUAUCAAUGUAGAAUUUACUCAGGCAUUUGGAUGAAAAUGGACACAAGAUUGGGUAGAUGCAGUAAAUAGAUAGACCCUAAUUUCUUAAAACCUGGAGGUGUGAUUGGAAGAUUUCUAAAUGCACCUGAGGGCGGGGGGGGGGGGGGUUAUAAUACUUUUUAAAUAUAUAGAAAAAUAUAUUUGAAAAUAUACAAUGUUAUACAAAUAUUAUACAAUAGUUUAAUUCACUUAUUAGAUUUGUUUUCAAAAAUUACCUUGCAUAUUCCUUCUUUAGUAAAGGUAAAGGUUUUCCCCUGACAUUAAGUCCAGUUGUGUCCGACUCUGGCCGUGGUGCCCAUCUCCAUUUCUAAGCCGAAAAGCCGGCGUUGUCCGUAGACACCUUCAAGGUCAUGUGGCCGGCAUGGGACCUAUUGAUCUACUCACAUGUUCAUGUUUUCAAACUGCUAGGUUGGCAGAAGCUGAGGCUAACAACAGGAGCUCACCCCACUCCCCGGGUUCGAACUGCGAUCUUUCGGUCAGCAAGUUCAGCAGCUCAGUGUUUUAACCAGCUGCACCACCGAACGCUCCUUCCUUCCUUCCUUCUUUAAAGAAAGAGUAAUCAGAGCACAACAGAAAUUAA